GUGGGUAUCGAACACAGGGAGUUUGUGGAAUAUGUGUUAUUUAAAGUGUUAUCUAAGUUAACUAAAAUUAAACUAAAUGCAAGUAAAGUAACUGUCAAGAGUUGAUUUGAGUGAAUUGGUUUCAAAACUAAAAUUACUAUUAUGAUUGCAAAAUGUAAGUGUUGGUUGUAAACAAAUUAGAGACAAGUAAUCAUCUUUAGUUUCCGGUUUGCUUUGACAUUUAUGCUAACAUUCCACUAGAAAGAAUGUUGGUCAGCAAUCGAUCCUACAAAGAACUACAUAGACAUAGUUCAUGUGUGAUCAAUUGCAGUGAUGAAAGGGAACUAAGUACUCAGAUUCCUAGAACAUGAGGUUGUUACCCGAUGAUCAAUCAACCCUUACCCAAGCCUAACUAUACCCAUGAUAUCUCGAUUGCCAACGGCACCAAGAACGUAUGGUUUCUAAUUAGUUUAACAUAAGAAUCAAUAAUUUACUAACAAUCAAUCACACACUAUAACAAACAAUUCAAUAAAGAUCAAGAUUGUUAUUCUAGAAAUAAGGAAAUAAAGCAUAAAGUCUUACAAAACCUUCCACCAAAGAUGACCACAAAAUGUUUAGCCACUCAUGGCUUGAACAAACAUCAUAAACCAAGUUUUAAUCUUCAAACAAGUUAAGAACAUGAAAAACAAUGAUAGAGAUAGUCUUCAAGCUCCAAAAGUUAGCCAAAAUUCGUCCCCAAGUGUUGUGUAACCGAUUAGGAAUGAUAAGUACUCAAAAGACAUCAUAAAAUACCAAUAAAUGGGGCAGUUACAACUUUUACG
rnacentral:lncRNA from 1 species